AGUGAACCCUGGCGGUAGGCCUAACACAUGCAAGUCGAACGGCAGCACAGUAAGAGCUUGCUCUUACGGGUGGCGAGUGGCGGACGGGUGAGGAAUACAUCGGAAUCUACUUUUUCGUGGGGGAUAACGUAGGGAAACUUACGCUAAUACCGCAUACGACCUACGGUUGAAAGCAGGGGAUCUUCGGACCUUGCGCGAUUGACUGAGCCGAUGUCGGAUUAGCUAGUUGGCGGGGUAAAGGCCCACCAAGGCGACGAUCCGUAGCUGGUCUGAGAGGAUGAUCAGCCACACUGGAACUGAGACACGGUCCAGAAUCCUACGGGAGGCAGCAGUGGGGAAUAUUGGACAAUGGGCGCAAGCCUGAUCCAGCCAUACCGCGUGGGUGAAGAAGGCCUUCGGGUUGUAAAGCCCUUUUGUUGGGAAAGAAAAGCAGCAGGUUAAUACCCCGCUGUUCUGACGGUACCCAAAGAAUAAGCACCGGCUAACUUCGUG
rnacentral:rRNA from 1 species